GAACAAUGUAUAAACUAUGACCAACUCAGUGCAGAGGGUACACACUGCUGAGAUGGGCGAUUAAGGAAUGGCGAAGAGGGAUACCUUUAGCAUAUGCCUUUUGACCGUAGGCGACUCGGUCUUGAAGAGAUUAAUUUCUCAACAAUCGUUUAGUGCAAUAAUUGAAUAGGAAUAAGACAGUAAGUGAAAGGGCGAGACAAUAGACGCUCUCUGUGAGAGAAUAACCCUAGAUGGUCGGCUGAUGUGGUAGUCAGUGACGGACAAAGGGAAUACCAAUAACUCGUUUAGCAGUGAUGCUGGGUUUCCAGCUAUAACUUUUGCUUAUGUACCAGUAGCCGAAUCUGCUAUAGAUAAAGAAAAUAAUGGAGCAGAACUCCUUUUAAUUUAAAUUUUUCUGAAAGUCGGUGAAAGUUGUGGGUCACAGUCCCAUAUGGUUUUAGGUCAAUGCUUCGGUAUUGAUGGUAUAAGAAGCCUAGGAGUCGCUCUCCUUUGCUCAGACUUGUAUCACUAUUAGUCUAAUAAUUUGGUUCAAUUGUUUGUAAGGGGAAACCUUGGUCGUGAUUUAUAGUUCUU
rnacentral:ncRNA from 1 species